GUCCUCGUAGUUCAGCGGAGAGAACGCGACCCUGCGAAGGUCGAGGUCACAGGUUCAAAUCCUGUCGAGGACGCCA
rnacentral:tRNA from 1 species